CAGCCGCCGCGGUAAUACCGGCGGCCCGAGUGGCGGUCACUAUUAUUGGGCUUAAAGCGUCCGUAGCCGGGUUGGGAAAUCCUCCGGGAAAUCUGGCCGCUUAACGGUCAGAAUGCCGGAGGAUACUCCCAGCCUAGGGAGCGGGAGAGGCCGAGGGUAUUCCCGGGGUAGGGGUGAAAUCCUAUAAUCCCGGGAGGACCACCUGUGGCGAAGGCGCUCGGCUGGAACGCGUCCGACGGUGAGGGACGAAGGCCAGGGGAGCAAACCGGAUUAGAUACCCGGGUAGUCCUGGCUGUAAACGAUGCGGACUUUGUGUCGGACAAGCUAUGAGCUUGUCCGGUGCCGGAGGGAAACCGUUAAGUCCGCCGCCUGGGGAGUACGGCCGCAAGGCUGAAACUUAAAGGAAUUGGCGGG
rnacentral:rRNA from 1 species